rnacentral:rRNA from 1 species
GAUGAACGCUGGCGGCGUGCCUAAUACAUGCAAGUCGAGCGAACGGACGAGAAGCUUGCUUCUCUGAUGUUAGCGGCGGACGGGUGAGUAACACGUGGAUAACCUACCUAUAAGACUGGGAUAACUUCGGGAAACCGUAGCUAAUACCGGAUAAUAUUUUGAACCGCAUGGUUCAAAAGUGAAAGACGGUCUUGCUGCCACUUAUAGAUGGAUCCGCGCUGCAUUAGCUAGUUGGUAAGGUAACGGCUUACCAAGGCAACGAUGCAUAGCCGACCUGAGAGGGUGAUCGGCCACACUGGAACUGAGACACGGUCCAGACUCCUACGGGAGGCAGCAGUAGGGAAUCUUCCGCAAUGGGCGAAAGCCUGACGGAGCAACGCCGCGUGAGUGAUGAAGGUCUUCGGAUCGUAAAACUCUGUUAUUAGGGAAGAACAUAUGUGUAAGUAACUGUGCACAUCUUGACGGCACCUAAUCAGAAAGCCACGGCUAACUAUGUG